GAGCCCUGGAAGAUAGCGGCCCAGCAGAAUGGAGAGCAGGGCUGGCUAACCUGUUGGCCAGGCUGAUAAUGACAGAAGACAAUACCACUCUUCUGACAGCACUGUGGCUUCACAGUAAAGGAAGAAGUAGAUGAUGACUGUCCCCAGAACCAGG